CUAGCAGAUCAGCUUUUUGUUUGUGUUAUGUUCAUACUAAAAUGUAAGACGAACAAAAAGUUUGUCUGUUGG
rnacentral:pre_miRNA from 1 species